UAAUACAAUAUUCCACAAUUCCUCGAAUGGACCAGUGUUUUUUUUGUUUUGUUUUUUUUUUAAAAAUUUAAGAGAGAAAAAAAUAUUGAAAAUCCCCGAAACAAUCAAAAAUCAUGCAAACAUAAGAUGAAUGAUGCUCAUUGAGAAAGUAGAAGUCUGAUGCUUAUUGCCAUGGAUGUUCGCUGGAAGCCCCGGGGUGGUCAAAUGAGGUGUCUCCCUUUUCGCUCCUCGGGUUAUAAGUCAGAGCACUUUUUUUUUUAAAGCUCGCUUGUUGAAGUCUACUUUCUGUAUCACCAGGGGUUGUCGGAGCUGGGUCCACUGAAAAACGUACAGUGCUAAAUCACAGCAUAUGCUGCCUCAGAGGAAAAACGCAGAAGAAUGGAUGUACAACAGUAUAUGGGCGCCCCCUAGCGUUCGGAUUAUUUCUCCUUGAUAUCGCUCUUUAAGGUGGAAGAGCCAUCUUAAAUGGAAACUACAUCGGUCGCUCGCCUCUCACAUACACCAAAGCAACAUGCGCCUAUUUUAAUCUGAUUAAUGCUUUUGAGAUUUCCUUCUAAUUGAUUUGGACGUUGCAGAGAUGCGCUUGUAGGUCUCUUCCACACAUUUUCUCCACAGUGUUGUUCACGCACGGGAGUAGCUUUUGCAGCGUUUCGGUAUAUUUUGGUCAGCUUAUUGAAACAAUCAAAAGUGAGCACCGUACCUCAUCUCUGACCAUUCAAAAGCCUGUAUGUGAACAAGACAGGCGACAGCGAUGCCGCAGAAGUAAAUAAGCGUGCCGAUGAAAAGUGGAUUUUACCCAAGAUCAAGGUAGGAUGCGACGUUCUGGCAGACUGGCUGUGCAUUGUCUCAGACCUCUGCAGGACUGUGACGAGGGCAGAGGACACGGCCACUGUGGGAACCGAAGAAUGCCGAGUGGCGACGUUGACAUCAACACCAGAUGCAUGAUGGGAGGAGGAACUUGCGACAAAGCAGGGAAGGUAGGUCUUAAUGUAUGCUUUUGAACCACUGGAGCAACUAACCUGUAAUAGAUUCUUUUAUAGGCAAAAGGAUCAUUGGCUCAACUGACAACGGAUUGCUUGAAGUCAGCUAUGUACGUAUCAUAAUUCCACAUAUACUGUUAUGAUGUAUGAUUAAAAAAAUGCAACUGAACAAGAAGUAGCACUGUAUUUCAAGACAAGAAAAUCUUUUCUUGAUGACAAUAGAAAUGUUUUAUUAUCAACUGUACAGUAAUUUCUGCCAAAUGCACAAGUAAAUAAACAUGGGUCCUUUA